ACAAACGCCAGUGGACCUAAAGUGUGCCGGGAAGGUAAGGAAACUGUUUACAUUCUUAACUUCAAAUCCUGCAGCCUUUUUUCUGUUUGUGGGAGACAGAGCGGAGGUGACGUGGAGACCAGGAGGGUGCCAGGAAGAGCUCGACCCAGCUGAUAAAUGUGCUCUCAGCCUCUCAAGAAGGAAGAGUGUCGGUGACAAUACAGAUGAAGAAGAAACAUCAGGACACCAAGAAGUUAAAAAGAUGGUCUGCAAAAUUUACAUACUGCAAGUGAUUCAAGCUGAUUCAGGAUGUCAACCAAACAGUCAGGUCUUAUGAUUAAAGCUUAGAUCAAAAGGACACUCAACAGUCAUUAAACAAUAUGUUCCUUUCAUCUUGCUUUUGUAUCAGACAGAAUUCCAUUAUAACUCUACCUGUAUGUCUACGUGUUUGACAUUAUGCUGUUAUUAUUUUACUUGGAGUUAGCAGAUAACAAAUCUGCUUUUUCUUAUUCAUGAAAACCUUCAAUUGGCUUCUAACUAUUUCUGUUGAAAACAGUUUACAACAUUUUAAUUGGAAAAAGGUUUGGGCAUGCACUAAAAGAAAUUAAAGUUUUUUUGCAAGAAA